CCCCACUGCUAUCGGGAUGGGACUAAGACAUGCUAGUCGUGCGCUUUCUAGCCAUGCUGGAAGCGCGGCACACAGCUCAGUAGCACGUGGCUAACCUGCCCUUGGGACGGGAACAACCCCGGGAAACUGGGGCCAAUUCCCGAUAGGUGAAGAUCCCUGGAAUGGGUUUUCGCCCAAAAGACGUUUGGGUCAUGCUUUCAGACGUUGCCCAAGGAUGGGGCCGCGGCCGAUCAGGUUGUUGGUGAGGUAACGGCUCACCAAGCCUUUGACCGGUUCGGGCCGUGAGAGCGGUAGCCCGGAGAUGGGCACUGAGACAAGGGCCCAGGCCCUACGGGGCGCAGCAGUCGCGAAAACUUCGCAAUAAGCGAAAGCUUGACGGGGCCAUCCCGAGUGCCAUCUGCUGAGGAUGGCUUUUACCCAGUAUAGAUAGCUGGGGGAAUAAGGAGAGGGCAAGUCUGGUGUCAGCCGCCGCGGUAAUACCAGCUCUCCGAGUUGUGGGG
rnacentral:rRNA from 1 species